AUGGACAUAGCCAUGCCGCUGAUCCUGGCGUUCUUGCUUUUGAAAGGUGAGCUUAUGCCAAAGCGCAACGGCGGGUUGUUUAUGGCUUUGAGUACGUCGGUUGUGAUCAAGUGGCCAUUUCAUGCAUAUGAAUGGCGGUAUCAUUUUGGUCGCAAAGGCCAUAUUACGACCCAUAUGUGGCCUAUCGAACGACGCACCGAGCUGUUGCAGUUAAAUUGUUUCAAGAGUUUAGUAAAAUUUACACCCUGGAUUUAACGACUAUUUCCCCUGAUCAGGUGCCCUGUCCGAAAUCCCAACAAACGGAACCGCCUCCUCGCCGCCGUCGCCUGUGAAGCAGUCCCUUCCGCCUUUUCCAUUGCCGCCGUCACCAUCCAACCAGACAGUACUGAAC
rnacentral:lncRNA from 1 species